AGCGAACGCUGGCGGCAGGCCUAACACAUGCAAGUCGAACGAACCUUUCGGGGUUAGUGGCGGACGGGUGAGUAACACGUGGGAACGUGCCUUUAGGUUCGGAAUAACUCAGGGAAACUUGUGCUAAUACCGAAUGUGCCCUUCGGGGGAAAGAUUAAUCGCCUUUAGAGCGGCCGGCGUCUGAUUAGCUAGUUGGUUGAGGUAAUGGCUCACCAAGGCGACGAUCAGUAGCUGGUCUGAGAGGAUGAUUAGCCACAUUGGGACUGAGACACGGCCCAAACUCCUACGGGAGGCAGCAGUGGGGAAUCUUGCGCAAUGGGCGAAAGCCUGACGCAGCCAUGCCGCGUGAAUGAUGAAGGUCUUAGGAUUGUAAAAUUCUUUCACCGGGGACGAUAAUGACGGUACCCGGAGAAGAAGCCCCGGCUAACUUCGUG
rnacentral:rRNA from 1 species